rnacentral:misc_RNA from 1 species
GAAAUGCGAUAAGUAAUGUGAAUUGCAGAAUUCCGUGAAUCAUCAAAUCUUUGAACGCACAUUGCGCUCAUUGGCAUUCCGAUGAGCAUAUCUGUUUGAGAAUCAGUUUAACUAUCAUGACCAGAUUUCUGGGAAUGGAAUUGGGACUUUUUGCUAAUAAUUAGCAAGAGACCUUAAUAAAAUUUGUAGCCUUGAUUUAUUAACAUUCAACCUAAGGCAUGAUUAAUGAACUUUUCUAGUUCUCUAAUGCUAAUGGGUAGUAUGCUAAGAAAGUUAAAGGAAACAUAUUAAAAACACGAGGGGAAACCCUUAAGACUUGGUCUCAAAUCAGAUAAGACUACCCGCUGAACUUAA